GCCAGGCAUGGUGGCUCAUGCCUGUAGUCCAAGCUACCUGGGAGGCUAAGGGGGGAGGAUUGCUUGAGCCCAGGAAUUUGAGAUUGCAGUGAGCUAUAAUGACACCUCUAUACUCCAGCUUGGGCAACAGAGUAAGACCCUCCCUGUC
ensembl:misc_RNA Metazoa_SRP Metazoan signal recognition particle RNA